rfam:Anopheles sinensis unplaced genomic scaffold AS2_scf7180000696050, whole genome shotgun sequence.
CGUCCAGUAACUCCUAUCCCUACUUCCACGUAGUGCCAGCUGGGGUACGACAGGCCACCAUCGGUAAACGGGUUUACUUAAGCAGACCCGGUUCCCGAUGUUGGAGUGUCGUAUGCUAACAGGGAAGG